GUGUCAGCAGCCGCGGUAAGACAGAGGUUGCAAACGUUGUUCGGAAUCACUGGGCAUAAAGCGCACGUAGGCGGCUAAUUAAGUUAGGUGUGAAAUCCCCCGGCUCAACCGGGGAACUGCGCCUGAUACUGAUUGGCUUGAGAACGGUAGGGGUGAGCGGAACUCCAGGUGGAGCGGUGAAAUGCGUAGAUAUCUGGAGGAACACCGGUGGCGAAAGCGGCUCACUGGACCGUAACUGACGCUGAUGUGCGAAAGCUAGGGUAGCAAACGGGAUUAGAAACCCUCGUAGUCC
rnacentral:rRNA from 1 species